CCAAUGUCCGUGGAGGUGAUGUGCUGCAAGUAAGUUUCCAGGGCUGACAUCACUGGGGCUUUGCGGCAGCAGCUCCUCAGCCCCUUGCGGAAACGUAUGGCGAACAGGCCGUAGAUGAUGGGGUCCAGGCAAGCAUUGAAAAGCCCAAAGAUGAACAGGAUGUGGGUGAGGGAGUGAGAGACUUUUCCCUCCAGGUCAUCUGGGAAGAACCAGUACCACAAACCCAACAGCUUUUGGGAUGUUGUUCUUUGAGCAACGGAGAUGUGGCUCAUUUGAGGACACUGGAGGAAAGAAAGAAAGAAAGAAAUCAGAUCUGGAUGAAGAUCCUGGUGUAGCAGAUAAUCAUUAUGACCAGUGGCAGCAGGAAGAGGCAGGAGAAGGUGAACAUGUUGUAGGCUGUUUCCUGCCACCCGCACAACUGACAGACUGGAAAUGAGAAGCUGCUUUUGUCUUCCUCUUUCUGAAAUAAAAGAGCUACUGUUUCAAAAAAA